UACGAAGGGGGCUAGCGUUGCUCGGAAUUACUGGGCGUAAAGCGUGCGCAGGCGGUGAUGUAAGACAGUUGUGAAAUCCCCGGGCUCAACCUGGGAACUGCAUCUGUGACUGUAUAGCUAGAGUACGGUAGAGGGGGAUGGAAUUCCGCGUGUAGCAGUGAAAUGCGUAGAUAUGCGGAGGAACACCGAUGGCGAAGGCAAUCCCCUGGACCUGUACUGACGCUCAUGCACGAAAGCGUGGGGAGCAAACAGG
rnacentral:rRNA from 1 species